rnacentral:rRNA from 1 species
GAUGAACGCUGGCUACAGGCUUAACACAUGCAAGUCGAGGGGAAACGACGGGGAAGCUUGCUUCCCCGGGCGUCGACCGGCGCACGGGUGAGUAACGCGUAUCCAACCUGCCUCUGACUGAGGGAUAACCCGUCGAAAGUCGGCCUAAUACCUCAUGGUAUCGUCUGCGGGCAUCCAACGACGAUUAAAGAUUUCAUCGGUCAGGGAUGGGGAUGCGUCUGAUUAGCUUGUUGGCGGGGUAACGGCCCACCAAGGCUACGAUCAGUAGGGGUUCUGAGAGGAAGGUCCCCACAUUGGAACUGAGACACGGUCCAAACUCCUACGGGAGGCAGCAGUGAGGAAUAUUGGUCAAUGGGCGAGAGCCUGAACCAGCCAAGUAGCGUGCAGGAAGACGGCCCUAUGGGUUGUAAACUGCUUUUAUGCGGGGAUAAAGUGAGGGACGUGUCCCUCAUUGCAGGUACCGCAUGAAUAAGGACCGGCUAAUUCCGUG